rnacentral:RNase_P_RNA from 2 species
GGAAGGAAGCUCACUGUAGAGGUUACAUACUGAGUGCGUCAAUUCUGUGAUGUCACUUCAUUAUUCCCUCCGGGAAGGUCUGAGACAAGAGCCAAUAGCCGCCCUUACAGGGCGUCACUUGAGCGGGUGAGUGAGUCCCCAGCAACCCCACGGUGGAGUGGACCGGCCCGCUGUGUGGAGGAGGCUCUGCAGGAGAGGCGGGGUGGGCUUGUGGUGAGAGGGAGUGGUCGCAGAUUGAGGCUGCUCCCACCUUACACACGGCUCCACCCGGCUGAUGCUGCCUCCUCCCCGGGCCUUGGAAGUGGCUCUCGGCUGGCUGUAUGAGUCCAAUGGCUGAGGUGGGGCAGCUGCACGGGAUGUGUGCGCGCCCCAUAACCCAAUUCAGACCACUGUCCGGAAUUCC